rnacentral:rRNA from 1 species
GAUGAACGCUGGCGGCGUGCCUAAUACAUGCAAGUCGAGCGAACAGACGAGGAGCUUGCUCCUUCGACGUUAGCGGCGGACGGGUGAGUAACACGUAGGUAACCUACCUAUAAGACUGGGAUAACUUCGGGAAACCGGAGCUAAUACCGGAUAAUAUUUCGAACCGCAUGGUUCGAUAGUGAAAGAUGGCUUUGCUAUCACUUAUAGAUGGACCUGCGCCGUAUUAGCUAGUUGGUAAGGUAACGGCCUACCAAGGCAACGAUACGUAGCCGACCUGAGAGGGCGAUCGGCCACACUGGAACUGAGACACGGUCCAGACUCCUACGGGAGGCAGCAGUAGGGAAUCUUCCGCAAUGGGCGAAAGCCUGACGGAGCAACGCCGCGUGAGUGAUGAAGGUCUUCGGAUCGUAAAACUCUGUUAUUAGGGAAGAACAAACGUGUAAGUAACUGUGCACGUCUUGACGGUACCUAAUCAGAAAGCCACGGCUAACUACGUG